rnacentral:rRNA from 1 species
AUUGAACGCUGGCGGCAUGCCUUACACAUGCAAGUCGAACGGCAGCACGGGGCAACCUGGUGGCGGGUGGCGAACGGGUGAGUAAUGCAUCGGAACGUACCUUUCAGUGGGGGAUAACGUAGCGAAAGUUGCGCUAAUACCGCAUAUUCUGUGAGCAGGAAAGCAGGGGAUCGCAAGACCUUGCGCUGAUUGAGCGGCCGAUGUCAGAUUAGCUAGUUGGUGAGGUAAAGGCUCACCAAGGCGACGAUCUGUAGCGGGUCUGAGAGGAUGAUCAGCCACACUGGAACGGAGACACGGUCCAGACUCCUACGGGAGGCAGCAGUGGGGAAUUUUGGACAAUGGGGGCAACCCUGAUCCAGCCAUGCCGCGUGAGUGAAGAAGGCCUUCGGGUUGUAAAGCUCUUUCGGCCGGGAAGAAAUCGCACGGGCUAAUACCCUGUGUGGAUGACGGUACCGGAAUAAGAAGCACCGGCUAACUACGUGCCAGCCGCCGCAGUAAAAC